rnacentral:rRNA from 1 species
UACGGAGUGUGCAAGCGUUACUCGGCAUCACUGGGCAUAAAGGGCGUGUAGGCGGGCUUUCAAGUCGGUUGUGAAAUCCCUCAGCUCAACUGAGGAACUGCAUCCGAUACUGUUUGUCUUGAGGACGAGAGGGGAGAGUGGAACUUCUGGUGGAGCGGUGAAAUGCGUAGAUAUCAGAAGGAACGCCGGUGGCGAAAGCGACUCUCUGGCUCGUAACUGACGCUGAAACGCGAAAGCUUGGGUAGCAAACGGG